rnacentral:lncRNA from 1 species
AUAUAUUACGUCAUAGAACGUUCAUGCAAAAUUUCGAAGACAUGCGUGAAAAUUUAGCGAAUUUUUCGAGUUUUAUGUUUUGAGUUUGUUACAUGGGACAACGCUAAGUUAACGUUUUUCAUGACAAUCUGUAUCUUCCAAUACAUCAUACAUUAUAUAUUUUAUUCUUCUUCUGUCAUAAUGUGAAAAUUUGAGAUACAAUCUUUAUUUUCAUAUAUUAGUUGACAUAUUUAUUUCAGUAUUUCUAAGAAAGUUUUCCCGUUAAAUGUUUAC